CAUGGAGAAAGCUGACUUGGCUGGUGUGGUGCAGAGAAGCCAGCUUGUUUAUGUGCUUAUUCCAUG
rfam:Homo sapiens chromosome 20, GRCh38 reference primary assembly.